GAGAUUAUAUCUUGUUUGGCCUUGUUCGGGAGAGAAAUGAAAGAAAACGACUGCAUCGUUCUCCUCUCGAACAAGAAGAAACUCAAGCAUAAACAUGUUGGGGUUCAAAUGAUGAAUCAGGGACAUCACAUCGGAUCCAUGAUUUACCAGACAAUUUAUAAGAAUGAGUGAGUAAGACAUGAUUUCUCAUUUCUGCUUUUAUUUUUCUGUCUUCUUUCGACCUUAGCUGCGUUGCGUAAUUAUACCUUAUUUCCUAUGUGCAUCAACUUUAUCUUCGACUCAUACACGAACUCAUUUUUUCAUACAGUUUUGCUACGGCAAGGAUGGUGAGGGCACAUGAUAACGUGAACAACGGAACAACUAACUUGUACCGACAAUGGACCAGAGCCCUAAAGAGGAAAUCUGCAGAAGAAGAAGAGGAGCGCUAAUCAUACCGACAAGUCGUUAUGAGUGUCCUAUGGGUUGAAUUUGGUAAAGGUACGAGUCGAAGUUGGUCUACGGCUUCCCAAACCCCAGAUGGAAUGGACAAGUACAUAUCUGGCUCAGCGCCAGCCUUUUGGGAUGGUGAUCUCUGCACAUGGAUGUCCUAAGGUUUGAGAAAGACGAGUCUGGGUAAGGACCUCCAGUGGGAUAUCUAGUGUCACCAGGACUAGAAACCCGUUGCCGAAGAUGAACCAGAAAAAAGAAGGCAAGUUUAGACUGGUAAAGAACGAAGGGCAUGUACUGAAAGCUGAAGGACACAUUAUUAUUAUUAUUAUUAUUAUUAUUAUUAUUAUUAUUAUUAU
rnacentral:lncRNA from 1 species